rnacentral:lncRNA from 1 species
GCCAACUCGGGCCAAAUACAAAACAAAAGGAAAAUGGGCCCAGAUUAGUUUCUGGCUCAACGUACACGAUAUACAAACAGUAUACAAUAAAUAUACACUAUAAAAUCAAUGUAUGUGUCUAGGUUUGAGCCCAGAUUAAUUUCUGGCCCAACAUACAUGAUAUACAAAUAGUAUAGAGUAAAGAUACACUACAAAAUCAAUGUAUGGGUCUAGGUUUGGAAGCUAGAUAAUCUUGUAGCUCAACACCCCCUUUCAAGUUGGAGGAGGAGACCACCUUCAACUUGACCAGCAGAGGAUGUAGGAUAGUGCCAGGCAAAGGCUUGGUGAGAAGGUCAGCCAGCUGACGAGAAGUAGAGACAUGUGAGAGAGUAAUGAGCCCACCAGUCAACAGGUCUCUAACAACGUGACAAUCUACCUCAAUAUGCUUGGUCCGCUCAUGAAAAUAGGAUUCUUGGCAAUAUGUAUAGCAGCCUGGUUAUCACAAAAAACAGAAAAGGGAAGAGAAACAGAAACACCAAUGUAAGUGAGCAAACGGGAAAGCCAAGACAAUUCAGCUACCACCUUACUGAGAGCCCUAUAUUCUGCUUCAGCAGAGGAUAAAGAAACUACAGGCUGUUUUUUGGACUUCCAACUAAUCAAGCUGCCUCCCAAAAUAACACAAAAACCAGUAACAGACCUGCGAGUGUCAGAACAGGCAGCCCAAUCACUAUCAGAAUAAGCCAACAUUCAUACAGUCAAAUUGGUGCAGCGGGUCAGAAACAUACAUAUGCUAAUUAAGGAGCAUCCCACUAAGAACAACAGACAUCUCUAUGCCCAAAAAAUAAUGCAAAGACCCCAGGUCUUUAAUCCUGAACUUAUCAUCCAGAAACAUUUUCAGGGCAGAAAGCUCAUCAUUGUCAUCCCGAGUAAUAAUAAUGUCAUCCACAUAGACUGCUACAACAACAAGACAACCAUGUCGCCUUUGAUAAAUAGAGAAUAAUCAUUCAAAGAAUAUGUAUAUCCUCUGGAGUAGAGAGCAGAAGACAGUUUAGCAUACCAUUGUCUGGAUGCCUGUCUCAACCCAUAAAGAGACUUUUUCAACUUACA